CCUACGGGUGGCAGCAGUGAGGAAUAUUGGUCAAUGGACGAGAGUCUGAACCAGCCAAGUAGCGUGAAGGAUGACUGCCCUAUGGGUUGUAAACUUCUUUUAUAUGGGAAUAAAACGUUCCACGUGUGGGAUUUUGUAUGUACCAUAUGAAUAAGGAUCGGCUAACUCCGUGCCAGCAGCCGCGGUAAUACGGAGGAUCCGAGCGUUAUCCGGAUUUAUUGGGUUUAAAGGGAGCGUAGGUGGGUUGUUAAGUCAGUUGUGAAAGUUUGCGGCUCAACCGUAAAAUUGCAGUUGAAACUGGCAGUCUUGAGUGCAGUAGAGGUGGGCGGAAUUCGUGGUGUAGCGGUGAAAUGCUUAGAUAUCACGAAGAACUCCGAUUGCGAAGGCAGUUCACUGGACUGCAACUGACACUGAGGCUCGAAAGUGUGGGUAUCAAACAGGAUUAGAUACCCGAGUAGUC
rnacentral:rRNA from 1 species